CAGUGAGCAACUAUAAAUAUAGUGAAGUGAUUUGCAUGUGUGGUAAAGAGGCAGAAGAAAGAUAGUGAAGAUAAGAUUAUAAGUGCUAUAAGCUAAGGCCUCUCGAGCUCAGAACCCACAGCAAGAAGAAGCAAAGAGGAAAAUGGCCUCAGCCUCGGCAUCUUUACUCAAGUCAUCAUCCCCCGUUCUUGACAAGUCUGAGUGGGUUAAGGGCCAGGCCAUCCGCCAGUCUACUGUCUCAGUCCGCAGCCUCCCCAGUGGCCCCUCUUCCCUCACCAUCCGUGCUGGUUCCUAUGCCGAUGAGCUUGUCAAGACCGCGGUAUGUUUCAAUGUUUUACAUCAUUUUACAAGCUUGCAUGCCUUUAAAUAGAGUACCCUUAUGAUAAAAUAUAGGACAGUUGUUGGAAAGUUUAAGUUGUUUGUAUAGUUUGAUUGAUACCUAGAUGAAACCAUGAAUGAGUAUGUUGUACUUUUAUGACAAAACUUAAAUAAACUACUGCAAGUUUUAUACGAUAAGGUUGUUUGAGAGUUGUUGCAAUAAAAAGUAGCUUUGCACUUUUGCCGACAGACUAUCUUGAAAUAUAGUAAAAGUUGUAAAAGACCUUUGCAUGCAACCCUAUAGCUUGUAUCAAGAUGUAAAAUGUAGAUUAAAGUUGCAAAGAAUGAAAGAAGAUCAUUGUUCUUGGCUGCCAAUUAGUUGUCUUGUUAUAGCUACAUGAAAUAUUAAUUAAGUUAAUUUUGUUGGGCG
rnacentral:lncRNA from 1 species